CCUACGGGUGGCAGCAGUGAGGAAUAUUGGUCAAUGGACGGAAGUCUGAUCCAGCCAUGCCGCGUGCAGGAAGACGGCUCUCUGAGUUGUAAACUGCUUUUGUACAAGGGUAAACCUGAAUACGUGUAUUCAUCUGACAGUACUGUACGAAUAAGGAUCGGCUAACUCCGUCCCAUCAGCCGCGGUAAGACUGAGGAUCCAAGCGUUAUCCGGAUUUAUUGGGGUUAAAGGGUGCGUAGGCGGAUUGAUAAGUUAGAGGGGAAAUGUCCGAGCUUAACUCGGGAACUGCCUCUAAUACUGUUGAACUAGAGAGUAGAAGCGGUAGGCGGAAUGUAUGGUGUAGCGGUGAAAUGCUUAGAGAUCAGACAGAACACCGAUUGCGAAGGCAGCUUACCAGUCUAUAUCUGACGUUGAGGCACGAAAGCGUGGGGAGCAAACAGGAUUAGAUACCCGAGUAGUC
rnacentral:rRNA from 1 species